rnacentral:tRNA from 1 species
GCUCCUGUAGCUCAAUCGGCAGAGCACCCGCCUUGUAAGCGGAAGGUUAUCAGUUCGAUUCUGAUCAGGAGCUCCA